AUUGAACGCUGGCGGCAUGCCUUACACAUGCAAGUCGAACGGCAGCACGGGAGCAAUCCUGGUGGCGAGUGGCGAACGGGUGAGUAAUAUAUCGGAACGUGCCCAGUCGUGGGGGAUAACUACUCGAAAGAGUAGCUAAUACCGCAUACGAUCUACGGAUGAAAGCGGGGGAUCGCAAGACCUCGCGCGAUUGGAGCGGCCGAUAUCAGAUUAGGUAGUUGGUAGGGUAAAAGCCUACCAAGCCUGCGAUCUGUAGCUGGUCUGAGAGGACGACCAGCCACACUGGAACUGAGACACGGUCCAGACUCCUACGGGAGGCAGCAGUGGGGAAUUUUGGACAAUGGGCGCAAGCCUGAUCCAGCAAUGCCGCGUGCAGGACGAAGGCCUUCGGGUUGUAAACUGCUUUUGUACGGAGCGAAAAGGUCUCUACUAAUACUAGGGGCUCAUGACGGUACCGUAAGAAUAAGCACCGGCUAACUACGUG
rnacentral:rRNA from 1 species